rnacentral:rRNA from 1 species
GGGCGUUAAGUUGCAGGGUAUAGACCCGAAACCCGGUGAUCUAGCCAUGGGCAGGUUGAAGGUUGGGUAACACUAACUGGAGGACCGAACCGACUAAUGUUGAAAAAUUAGCGGAUGACCUGUGGCUGGGGGUGAAAGGCCAAUCAAACCGGGAGAUAGCUGGUUCUCCCCGAAAGCUAUUUAGGUAGCGCCUCGUGAAUUCAUCUCCGGGGGUAGAGCACUGUUUCGGCUAGGGGGCCAUCCCGGCUUACCAACCCGAUGCAAACUGCGAAUACCGGAGAAUGUUAUCACGGGAGACACACGGCGGGUGCUAACGUCCGUCGUGAAGAGGGAAACAACCCAGACCGCCAGCUAAGGUCCCAAAGUCAUGGUUAAGUGGGAAACGAUGUGGGAAGGCCCAGACAGCCAGGAUGUUGGCUUAGAAGCAGCCAUCAUUUAAAGAAAGCGUAAUAGCUCACUGGUCGAGUCGGCCUGCGCGGAAGAUGUAACGGGGCUAAACCAUGCACCGAAGCUGCGGCAGCGACACUCAGGUGUUGUUGGGUAGGGGAGCGUUCUGUAAGCCUGUGAAGGUGGCCUGUGAGGGUUGCUGGAGGUAUCAGAAGUGCGAAUGCUNNNNNNNNNNCCAAGACAACUUUACGGAGUUGACGAUUGACGGAGCGAAGCGACGUCAAAGCGUUCAUUAAAGUCGAGUUGGCUUAGGGAUACGUUCGUUGGGUAGGGGAGCGUUCUGUAAGCCUGUGAAGGUGUGUCGUGAGGCAUGCUGGAGGUAUCAGAAGUGCGAAUGCUGACAUAAGUAACGAUAAAGCGGGUGAAAAGCCCGCUCGCCGGAAGACCAAGGGUUCCUGUCCAACGUUAAUCGGGGCAGGGUGAGUCGACCCCUAAGGCGAGGCCGAAAGGCGUAGUCGAUGGGAAACGGGUUAAUAUUCCCGUACUUGGUGUUACUGCGAAGGGGGGACGGAGAAGGCUAUGUUGGCCGGGCGACGGUUGUCCCGGUUUAAGCGUGUAGGCUGGUUUUCCAGGCAAAUCCGGAAAAUCAAGGCUGAGGCGUGACGACGAGGCACUACGGUGCUGAAGCAACAAAUGCCCUGCUUCCAGGAAAAGCCUCUAAGCAUCAGGUAACACGAAAUCGUACCCCAAACCGACACAGGUGGUCAGGUAGAGAAUACCAAGGCGCUUGAGAGAACUCGGGUGAAGGAACUAGGCAAAAUGGUGCCGUAACUUCGGGAGAAGGCACGCUGAUAUGUAGGUGAAGUGAUUUACUCAUGGAGCUGAAAUCAGUCGAAGAUACCAGCUGGCUGCAACUGUUUAUUAAAAACACAGCACUGUGCAAACACGAAAGUGGACGUAUACG